AACGAACGCUGGCGGCAUGCCUAACACAUGCAAGUCGAACGAACCCUUCGGGGUUAGUGGCGCACGGGUGCGUAACACGUGGGAAUCUGCCCUUUGCUUCGGAAUAACAGUUAGAAAUGACUGCUAAUACCGGAUGAUGUCGCAAGACCAAAGAUUUAUCGGCAAAGGAUGAGCCCGCGUAGGAUUAGCUAGUUGGUGGGGUAAAGGCCUACCAAGGCGACGAUCCUUAGCUGGUCUGAGAGGAUGAUCAGCCACACUGGGACUGAGACACGGCCCAGACUCCUACGGGAGGCAGCAGUGGGGAAUAUUGGACAAUGGGCGAAAGCCUGAUCCAGCAAUGCCGCGUGAGUGAUGAAGGCCUUCGGGUUGUAAAGCUCUUUUACCAGGGAUGAUAAUGACAGUACCUGGAGAAUAAGCUCCGGCUAACUCCGUGCCAGCCGCCGCCGUAAAAC
rnacentral:rRNA from 1 species